rnacentral:rRNA from 1 species
ACGAACGCUGGCGGCGUGCUUAACACCUGCAAGUCGAACGGAAAGGCCCUGCUUUUGUGGGGUGCUCGAGUGGCGAACGGGUGAGUAACACGUGAGUAACCUGCCCUUGACUUUGGGAUAACUUCAGGAAACUGGGGCUAAUACCGGAUAGGAACUCCUGCUGCAUGGUGGGGGUUGGAAAGUUUCGGCGGUUGGGGAUGGACUCGCGGCUUAUCAGCUUGUUGGUGGGGUAGUGGCUUACCAAGGCUUUGACGGGUAGCCGGCCUGAGAGGGUGACCGGCCACAUUGGGACUGAGAUACGGCCCAGACUCCUACGGGAGGCAGCAGUGGGGAAUAUUGCACAAUGGGCGGAAGCCUGAUGCAGCAACGCCGCGUGCGGGAUGACGGCCUUCGGGUUGUAAACCGCUUUCGCCUGUGACGAAGCGUGAGUGACGGUAAUGGGUAAAGAAGCACCGGCUAACUACGUG